rnacentral:lncRNA from 1 species
CAUGAGUUAUAUUCCUUCUUCAAGAUCGCUCCAAAUUUAUUUCUCAUCAUUGGCUCAACUUUUCCUUGUUCAUCAUUCCACGGUGUCGCGGUAAUUUUGGUGGUGUUCCUUCUCGUCAUUUUGUGCAUUGAAUACCGAAGAAGUGUUUCUCUUAAAUCUUGUCCCUUCUUUUAAAGAUUGUAAUCUAGCUUCGUGUUAUCUUCUCAAUUGUUUCCACUCAUGAGUAAUUCUUUCCAUAUCUAUCCGGUGCAUUUCAUUGUUGUGUUCAUUUCUCGAUCAUCUGAAGGCCAUCAUUUCAGAAGAUUUCUUCGCUCUCAGCUUUCAGCUUUCAUUCUCAAAUUCUUCUCAAUUGUUGUCUCUUCGUUCGUCUCUCAAUUAUUCUGGUG